GUGAAUCAUCGAAUUUUUGAACGCAUAUUGCACUCUCUGGUAUUCCGGAGAGUAUGCCUGUUUGAGGGUAAUUAAAAAGAAUCUUUGACCAAUUUUUUUUGGUCAAAGGAAAUGAGUUCUCCGCGUUUAUAGCGGGAGCUUGAAAUAAAUGGUCAAGUCUCAUUUUCGUUGAGACACGUAAUAAUAUUAUGUCGCGAAAUCUUAGUUAUGUGUCUAUCAAGUUUUUGUGCAGACAAUGUUG
rnacentral:misc_RNA from 1 species